rnacentral:rRNA from 1 species
CCUACGGGUGGCAGCAGUGAGGAAUAUUGGUCAAUGGACGAGAGUCUGAACCAGCCAAGUAGCGUGAAGGAUGACUGCCCUAUGGGUGGUAAACUUCUUUUAUAUGGGAAUAAAACGUUCCACGAGUGGGAUUUUGUAUGUACCAUAUGAAUAAGGAUAGGCUAACUCCGUGCCAGCAGCCGCGGUAAUACGGAGGAUCCGAGCGUUAUCCGGAUUUAUUGGGUGUAAAGGGAGCGUAGGUUGAUUGUUAAGUCAGUUGUGAAAGUUGACGGCUCAACCGUAAAAUUGCAGUUGAAACUGGCAGUCUUGAGUACAGUAGAGGUGGGCGGAAUUCGUGGUGUAGCGGUGAAAUGCUUAGAGAUCACGAAGAACUCCGAUUGCGAAGGCAGUUCCCUGGACUACAACUGACACUGAGGCUCGAAAGUGUGGGUAUCAAACAGGAUUAGAUACCCCGGUAGUC